rnacentral:misc_RNA from 1 species
UCUCCGUAGGUGAACCUGCGGAGGGAUCAUUACAGAGUUCAUGCCCUACCGGGUAGAUCUCCCACCCUAUGUUAUUAUUACUUUGUUGCUUUGGCGGGCCGUUAGGCUCCGGCCCGACUACCGGCCCCGGCUGGUAGGCGCCCGCCAGAGGACCCAAAACCCUGAAUAUUAGUGUCGUCUGAGUACUAUAUAAUAGUUAAAACUUUCAACAACGGAUCUCUUGGUUCUG